rnacentral:lncRNA from 1 species
GCGGCCGGACGCCGGCAGACGGRGAAUUUCCCCUCCUCCUUUGGCCGCCAUUUUUGUUAAGGGAAAAACGUCCUCGUGCGCCUUGCCCCGCUUCUUGCGGGCGCCAUUUUCUAAAGGGGCAAAUUCUCACACGUUGGGACUCGGCAGCCGUGAGGCGGCGGGCGGCGGCGGCGGCGCGGACGGGCCUCGGCUCGGCUCCCGAGCGGUGCCGCCCUGAGUGGCACCCGUGGGCUGCGUCCAUCCAAAGCGGGCAGUCCUGGCAGCCCCUGGGGCGGCAGGAUGGUGAACUGAGGUCAUCAACUGAAUGUUCUAGAUGAGAGAGGCAGGAUGGGGAAGAGGAACAGCYUGGUUCAGCUCAGGUCACAUAGCAGGUGAGUAGUAAUAUGGAYGCUGUGUCCUACCCCUGUGAAUACAUUGCAUGUGUUUAUUGGCUAGAAAAGGUGGACUUCCACUUUUCU